AUGGAGGUGUCAACAAGUGGUGACAUCUAUAGCUACGAAAUCCUGCUAUUUGAGAUGCUGAUAGGCAAGAGAUUGACAUAUGACAUGUUUAAAGACGGACUGAACUUGCAUAAAUUUGUCAAAUAAGGCUUUGGCCUCCUUAUCCUAUUGGACGGUGAUCAGAGCUGAGUCUUCUAGCCAUCCCAGCCAGCUUUUGAGCAAGCACUUGGAGCCUAUUAUUGAAGAGGAGCUUUUGAACGAGCACAUGGACACUAUUGAAGAGUGUACGACUCGGCUUUGAUUAUCCAACAAGAUGCUACCAGUCUACUUUGUUCUUAGGAUUUUAUGAUCUGUACCUAAAAUUAUGCCUGACCGGGACGGCUAGAAGACUCGGCUCUGAUCAAGAUGCUACCAGUAGACUUUGUUUGUGGGAUUUUAUGAUUUUUACUAAUUUUGAAUGCUAUGGAAACUUUCUAUCAUGUCAUUGAAAUUUUUUUUUUUGAAUCAAGAUGUCCAGCUUCGAA